rnacentral:rRNA from 1 species
AAAAGGCAGCGGAAAAACAAAAGCUUCGAUCCAGCUAAAUGGUGGUCCAAUCAUGGGUCAAGUGCACCAAAUCUCAGGAUAUUGGUGAUGCGGAUUUUGAGUUUGACAUGCAGCACCUCCGCUUGUGAGAGAAAUUUUAGUGUUUUCCAGCAGAUUCACACAAAGAGACGCAAUAGGCUACUUCAUAAAAAAAUGAGUGACCUUGUGUUUAUCAAGUUCAACUCCAAACUCAAAAAGAAAAGAGGGAUGAGAAACAGGGACCCGAUUGUGGACCACACAUUUGUAGAUGUUGUAGAAGAUGAAUAUAAUGAGUGGAUCACAUGUGUUGUGCAUGGUGAAGGAGUUCAA